rnacentral:rRNA from 1 species
UACAUGGGGUGCAAACGUUGCUCGGAAUUAUUGGGCGUAAAGCGCGCGUAGGCGGUUACUCAAGUCGGAUGUGAAAGCCCUCGGCUUAACUGAGGAAGUGCACCCGAAACUGAGUAGCUAGAGUACUAAAGAGGGUCGCGGAAUUCCCGGUGUAGAGGUGAAAUUCGUAGAUAUCGGGAGGAACACCGGUGGCGAAGGCGGCGACCUGGGUAGAUACUGACGCUGAGGCGCGAAAGCCAGGGGAGCAAACGGG